AUGAUGGCCGUGGAGAAGGAGCACAUCCUCACCGACCUGCGCACCUGCCAGCGCCGCAACCAGGACCUCGUGCAGAAGCUGCAACAGUUCCGCCGGAGACGGGGCGCCGACGACCCUGAUCCGUGCGACGUGCAGUAAGAAGCCAGACAAAUAUUUCAAGUGUUGCGGCUACUUUACAAUGUUUUGGUGUGCAAACUUCCACAGUGUGACAAGAUUAAGAAGAGAUUGGCAACAUAAUACCACGGUGUGGCAAAAUCAACUGAUUACAGGCUAUUCCGUAAAUGUCAAGCCUUGCGUGGCAAACUAAGGGCAAAGAGAAUUUGAAAUAGGGGUGGUGUAUGAUGUCAAGCGUCUUAUUUUAACGCGUUCUAUCAUAAUGUGACUCUAAUAGUACAUUAUAAUACAUGUGCGAAAAAUAGGAAAUUCGCAACGAGUGGGGAUAAAUUAAAACAACACCGAAAAGAGUGUUUUAAAUCGACACGAGUUGCGAAUUACGUACUCGCACAUGUAUCCUACAACGUUUUACAGUACACAUGGCCCUUUAAAUUUUUGACAUUACGUAACAAUGUCAAAAUUAUCGCACUAGUUCGGUAAAGUAGCACCAAAUGCGCUGUAAAAUUAGUAACCUUUGUGAUAUUACUUUGCUUUUCUCAGCAUCUUUAAACGCUGUUAUAAAUUAUACUUUUGUUUGAAAAUUACCACUUAUUUAUAGCAUUUUAAACUUCUAAUUUAUCAUGAAACUUUUUAUAAGCAUUUUGUUUUAAAAUGUUAUAGGAAUAUAUCAUAAUUUCAAAUGUCGGGCGUGUUUUUUUUUAUAUUUAACUUGUACUUACAAUAAAGUGACGUCGAUGUGAUCUUUUGUGAUAGAAUAGCAUUUAUCUUAUCGAGGCAAAGCCACUCUUUUAUAUUAUAAAAUUUGUGAUACGACUUUGUAAUUGAUGUGACGAUUAUCUAUUUAAAUAAAUUAAACUUUAUUUUAAUUAA